AAACUAAUUUAAUUUGGCGGCAUUUCAUCUAAUUAGAGGAAUUUGUUUAUUAAUCGAUAAUCCACGUUAAUUUUCACUUUAACCUAAAAUUUAUAUACCGCCAUUUUAAGAAUCAAUUUAAAAAUUUCUUUCUCAAUAAAUCAUAAAAAAUUAGGUCAAGGUGUAAUCUAUAUUAAAGAAUAAAAUGAAUUACAUUAAAUAGUAUUUAAAGAUUAUUUAUAAAUAUAUCAAUAUAAAUAAGAAUUUAAAAGUAAUACAAUAAUAAUAUUAUUAUAUGAUAAAAACAAUAAAUGUGCACACAUCGCCC
rnacentral:rRNA from 1 species